UAAAUGUAUGGUGGUUGUGAUUUAAGGUCAGUUCUGACUUCAGUGGCUGCUCCUUCCCUUAUUGCAGAAUGAUUGGGGAGCUCACCCAAGCCCUGCAGUCCAAAGAGGCUCUGAUCACCCAACUGGCAGAGGAGAAGACCUCUCUGCAGGGGCAAGUUGGUCUGUUGGAGGAUCAGGUGCAGGACCUCACUGCCUCUCUCCAACAGAAGGAGCAGGAUGCUGAGUUCUUUCAGGACGAGUUGGGCCGUGAGAAACUGCGCAUUCAGCAGCAGAUGCAGGUAUGUGGGUCAGGAUGGCUGGCACUAGCUAUGACUUCUCUCUUGCACCCCAUCCCACUCUCAGCUAGUGAUGGACAGUUAGAGGAUUCCCCCUGGUGGAAAUCCUCACACACUGCACAAAGGAGCAGAGGGCACACUGAGUUGAGGCCGUAUGUACAGGUGGUCUCCGAUUUAUGAUGGUUCGACUUAUGAUUUUUUUGACUUUAAGAUGAUAAGCUGGCGAUAGACACUUAGUAGAAACCAUACUUCGAAUUUCGAUUUUUUCCUGAGCAAGUGAUAUGCAGUAUGAUACUCUCUUGCAAUGCUGGCCAGCGGCAGCGAUCUACAUCUCCCAGUCUGUCAUGCAAAGGUGUGUAUUAAGUGCAUUUUUGAUUUACGAUAUUUUAGACUUAUGAUGGGUUUCACAGAAUGUAACCCCAUUGUAAAUUGGGAACCAUCUGUAUAACUAUGUCCAGCUGGGUUGUAACUCUGUUGUAACUGGGUGACCACCAUUUGGACAUCAGGAUGGCUUUAGAGUUAGAUGAAGGUCAGAAAUUACAACGCGCUAUUCAUUCCAGAUGAUGCAGUUCUCCUUUCCACACUUUUGCAUUUUUAAGUGCGUAUAUUAAUUUUCAUUCUUUUUAAUUUUGUUUCAAAGUGUUUUAUUUAGGGGCGUGGUGGCACAGUGGGUUGGACCACAGUCCUGCUCUCCGGUGGGUCUGGGGUUUGAGUCCUGCUUGGGGUGCCUUGUGACGGACUGGCGUCCUGUCCUGGGUGUGUCCCCUCCCCCUCUGGCCUUACGCCCUGUGUUGCUGGGUAGGCUCUGGUUCCCCUGUGACCCUGUAUGGGACAAGUGGUUCUGAAAGUG
rnacentral:lncRNA from 1 species